UACGUAGGGGGCAAGCGUUGUCCGGAAUCAUUGGGCGUAAAGCGCGUGUAGGCGGUUCGGUAAGUCCGCUGUGAAAGUCGGGGGGCUCAACCCUCGGAUGCCAGUGGAUACUGUCGGGCUUGAGUACGGAAGAGGCGAGUGGAAUUCCUGGUGUAGCGGUGAAAUGCGCAGAUAUCAGGAGGAACACCAAUUGCGAAGGCAGCUCGCUGGGACGUUACUGACGCUGAGACGCGAAAAGCGUGGGGGAGCAAAACAGG
rnacentral:rRNA from 1 species